UGGUACGGUUCCGUUCUGUUCCGCCUUGGCGCCCUUGGCCGCGGGGGCAAUGUUUUUGUUUUCGUUCUACGUUCAGGUGUUGAGUGGCGACGUAUUAACCGUCGAUAACCAGCUGAAGCAGCUCAAGUUCUCUAGUGGAACGAGGUUGACCGUGCGCAGUGGCAGCCGUUGACAACAAAAACAAUGUAUGCACUCAGCUUCGCCGGAUGAGUGCCGGCGUCGAUCGCGAACCGCCAGAGCCGCCAAAUACCUCUCGUACAUCUCCAAGAACACCAAGAACAGGAGGUAUUCAUAAAGGUCUGAACCACGCGAGGAUCGUCUCGAAGCAUGGUAGCCUCAACAGACGCUUGCCGCCACACGCGAGGAGAAAGCAGGAGGCCCGAAGUUUGAAUGUGAAGAGGAGGUGCGAAGAGCUGGCCCUCACUUUUUCAAGGCAGCCGCAGAACACUACGAGCCCCGAAUCACUGCCGCGGCUGACUCACGCGGAUGCUGUGCUGCACCCUGCACUGCACAUGGUUCGAAGCACACUUCAGGGGACCAGUGCAUGCCCCUGAUGCAUCGUCGCGGUCCCGGGGAUCAUGGCAUCGAUGAGCUCGCUUUCGCCUUGUCCAAGGUAGCAGCGGAACACUACGGGCAGGCCCGGAGUCACCGUACCGGCUGGCUCACGGGCGUCGUCCUGUACUCUGCACGGCACUGCGUGUGGCUUAACCGGCCAAGCAGAGGGUCACUGCAUGACCUUUAUGAGGCGUCGCUAGCCAUUGUAAGUAUAUUUUGGACGCUCGUGUCAGGGGAUGUACUUUUGUGUUCUACAACAGAACAUGUUUGGUGGCGGUUCAGUCUUGCCAAUUCAGCUAUUUCGAAACAUAAUUUUGUGGCGACUCGGCUUAGGUUUUCUGGCUCGGCCGUCUUUUGCACCAGUGUCUAGGCUCGGCGUAAGCCUCUUUGUUCUUUAUUGUCAAGGCUAGUGUAAUUUCUGCUACGCCGUCGAAGCAACUUCUGCAUGCGAACAAGAUGCAAGACGAAGCUACAUGCUCGUGCACAGUGCAUGACCACAUGUGAAAACUAAUAGCGAGUUUGUUUCGCUGCACUCGUGCCCAUGCGCACCCACUCGCAACAUGAAGUGAGUUUGUUUCGCCGCCGGCACUCCACACGUGCAUGCGCUCGCAGCACCCUGAGAAUUAAGUGUGUACCUGAAUGCACUCCCGUCAUGCAUCACUUAGGCAGGGAACAAGAGCAGAUGACUGGUUUGUCCACCAUGCGGGACAGUAGAACUGCAGAAAAAGUGAAUUUCUGCUAAAAAAAUGAUGUCCCACGAGCAACAAAAUCGGACACGAGCUUGAAUUGUGUGUCUGCUAUUCUAUAAAGCAAGCAAUCCACAACCUGUGCUUAAUUUGCAAGUUUUCAGUCAUUUUGUUGCCGUACAGACGUCCAAAUACACCGGUGGAUAAAGAAAGGUUCAGAACGAACAUCAGCCACCGCGAGAUAUCUCUCACCAUCCGUGCGGGGCUAAAGAGUUGGGACGUUAGUUGACAAAGCUUGCCCGGCAGAAACCUGCGACGCGUCCAAUCGGGAGCCGAGAAAGCUAAACUGCUUUUACCCGAGGCUUGGAUAAAAUCACAGUGUUUAAAAAGGAGCCAUGGAAUUUAUUUUGGGUGGGAUAAAUUAAUUUAGAUUCGUAUUUUGCUAAUACAGUUGAACCUUUCAAGAACGAAAUUCUCGCGGCAACGAAGAAAUCUGGCGGCCCCAGCGAACGUCCAUAGGGUUCAAUGCAUUUGCACCCUCUCAACAGCAAAGAGUUUUUAAAAAGCAGUCCCGCAUUAACGAAAGUUUGAGGUAGUGAUCUGCCAUAGAGUUAUUCAAUGUGUCUACCAAGUUGGCAUUUUCAAAUUCCCUGAGUUUUUCAGGUUUCCCCUGAGUACUUUUGUGAAAUUCCCUGAGUGACACAGAACUUUGUUUUAGGUCAAGAUGGGCGGACACCAUGUCGCCAGAUGCUGUCACUCUCUAAAAAGCAUGUCAUAAAAUAAAAUAACAACACAAUACA
rnacentral:misc_RNA from 1 species